rnacentral:lncRNA from 1 species
CUUAAUGCUUUCAAAGAUAAAUUUGCCACAUCAAUUCGUAGGUUUACACUGAAUUCACUCUAUUCUCAAGAAGUUAUCCUUUGGGACAAUACUACUGUCUCUACUUUUGUGGGAGAUGCCUUAGCUUAGUGUCUGUCUCUAAUGUCAAUCAUCUAUGUUGGGGAAUCAGAAUAGAAGAAUCAAGAAUAUAUAUAUUUGUAUAAAAAAAAAUUAUUAUGUUGGAUAUACUCAGAUGUUGCGGAGAAUGGGUGGACAGUGGAUACAGCAUCUCAAAUGGUGACUGUGAAGAAGCAAGCUGUUAAAAGAGAGCAAAAGGUGGAUUCAUCCAAGCUGCAACGCUUGACGGAGUAUGUGUUCCACCUUGAACACUAAACUCCUAUUAUGGGUUUCAGAUUAGCGAAAACUAAAAAGAUCAAACCAAAAUUUGUUUCGAAAAGAUGGCUAUAGCUUCAGUUUUAUGUUGAGAUUUAUUUCAGAAGUUUCCAAUCUACGCAACAUGUCUCGUCUUAACCCUAGUAUGGAUAUGAUCAGCUGUUUUGGUAUUAAAUUGAUAUCAUGCAUGUUAAUCAAAUAAUGAAAUCUUUAAAUACCCGACUGAAAAUGAGAAAACCAGAUGUUUGUCAAGUAAUUAGAGACUUUGGCGUGUAUUUCUGUGAUUUUAUUCUCCCCAAGAACGUUAUACUCUUUGGCUUCCCUCUCUGCGCUGUGACUUCACUCUCAUGUCUCUGAUAAGCAGAUUUUACCAUCGUACUUCAUUAACAAUUCUUUUAUAAAGUAUUUGACUGUAAAUUAUUAUGUUUUUAUUAUUAUUGUAAUUUAUAACUUUGUAAGAUAUUGUUAAACAUCAACUUUAUAUAUCUUUUACAUUAUUAUUAUUGCCAAAGAUCAAAUAUCUCAUGUGUAUCACGUAACAAUCUUCAACUUGUCAACGCCAACGCCAACAUCCCAUAGGGAUGUUAACAUGGGUAACCUAUGGGUUUACCCAAACCCACUAAUAAUAGGUUGGGUUUUUACCCGUCUAAGAUUUAUUGGGUCGAUUAUGGGUAUUAAUUUUGAAACCCAUAUUUAUGUUGGGUAAAUAUAGAAGGGUAAUGUCUCUAGGGUGGAUUUUGUGAGGAUAAUCGUUCGAUUUUAAUAAACAGGUUGCUUCGGAAGGAAUCUCUUUCCAUGAUGACUGGCCUUACGCAAUCCAUCUUCUCGGUUACUUCUACGUUGACGAUUGGUUAGUUAAAAAAUUCUUCUUUGAUUCUGUUGUUUGCGCCGUUAACUAACAGGUUGCGUUUGAUUGCUGUUGUUGUGUGGCUAAAUCUGGAAUGAUAAUAUUGUAGUGAUAGCGCUCGUUUCCUCUGGAAGACAAUCCCUACAAGUGUGAAGGAAAGCAAGCCUGAAGUUGUUGCUGCUUGGAGGAUUGGUCAGAGGCUCUGGACACGUGACUACGCAGGUGUGUAUGAAGCUAUUCGGGGUUAUGAUUGGAGUCCAGAAGCUAAAGAUAUGGUUGCUGCAUUCUCAGGUUAUUUUCUUCUGUGCUAAUACCUUUUUAGCUAGUAUGGCUUGUUUUUUUUUAACUAAGCUUUCUGACAGAUUACUAUAAACAUGUAAAGUGAUUGUUUACUCUUAUCUAGUUUUUAAAUCUGCAUAUUGAGAAUCUGAGAUCGGAUAGCUGUGUUGUUGUGUUAAUCUAGUGAGACCAGACUUGAAGAUUUGUGUUAACUGGUUUUUUCCAACUAAAAGCAUCAACUUUUGAUCGAAAUUGUGUGAAAUUGAACAUUUUUUUUUGCUCAUCUUUUGCAUUUACAAGACAUCAAUUGUUCAAUGCCUGGCCCUUAAAUUACCUCAUUGGUAAAACUAUAUAUUCCAUCAACACCUAACGCUAUUCCUGUCUUGUUUUUUGUUGAAGACGUUUACACAAAAAGGAUGUUUCAGCUUUUGUUGUCUGCCUACUCCACAAUUACCAUCCGCGAUUUGGCUCUUUUCCUAGGGAUGACAGAAGAUGAUGCCGCAACUUGUAAGCUUUCGUUCUUUCUGCAAUUUCCUUAAUGCUUUCAAAGAUAAAUUUGCCACAUCAAUUCGUAGGUUUACACUGAAUUCACUCUAUUCUCAAGAAGUUAUCCUUUGGGACAAUACUACUGUCUCUACUUUUGUGGGAGAUGCCUUAGCUUAGUGUCUGUCUCUAAUGUCAAUCAUCUAUGUUGGGGAAUCAGAAUAGAAGAAUCAAGAAUAUAUAUAUUUGUAUAAAAAAAAAUUAUUAUGUUGGAUAUACUCAGAUGUUGCGGAGAAUGGGUGGACAGUGGAUACAGCAUCUCAAAUGGUGACUGUGAAGAAGCAAGCUGUUAAAAGAGAGCAAAAGGUGGAUUCAUCCAAGCUGCAACGCUUGACGGAGUAUGUGUUCCACCUUGAACACUAAACUCCUAUUAUGGGUUUCAGAUUAGCGAAAACUAAAAAGAUCAAACCAAAAUUUGUUUCGAAAAGAUGGCUAUAGCUUCAGUUUUAUGUUGAGAUUUAUUUCAGAAGUUUCCAAUCUACGCAACAUGUCUCGUCUU